rnacentral:lncRNA from 1 species
GGGCCCGGCUGUCCCGCUUGGGCGUCCUCAGUGGAACCGCACACCCUUUCUCAGCGCGCCGGUCGUUUGGUCCUGUAGGGCCGAGGGGAAUUCGUGCGGUGUUGAGCACGCGGGAAGCACUUAACGAAAGGGAGCUGCCCCUCAGCCCUCGUGAGUCCGAUGUAAAGGAGUGAAGGAGACGAAGAACUGAAUCAGUAGUUGACCGCCUGUGAGCUGGCGAGCUGUGCCCUGGUAGGGCCUUAAAUCCCAGCCCCAGAAGUCGGAGGCAGGGCAGGCACCCCAAAGCGUGGAAGAGAUGCACCUGCGGAGUGAAAAUGCUGCUAUUGCUUCUAGGGUCAGCCUUGGUUCCUGGAACAAAGGAGCCGCAUGACUCGGGUCUGGCGAUGAUGUUGGGCUCUGCAGUGUCCUCAUCCUUCCCCCUCUCUGGGUAAUGAUAUCUUCCCAGGGUUUAAAGUGUGUCCUCUCUGCCAGUAGCUUGUCUCCACAGCCUCAUCUUUAAUUCCACCUGCCCCACCCAUUUUGGACACUGCAGCCAAGUUGCAGCAGAUCCGCAAACCUGGUAAUCCCUCACUUGAAAGUGCUGGAGGCUUUAGGAUGGGGUUCAGGGCCUGUGCAAUCUAACCGCCUGCUUUUUUUUUUUUUUUUUUUUUUUUUUUUUUGAGACGGAGUCGAAUCUCACUGUCUCCCAGGCUGGAGUGCAGUGGCGCCAUCACAGCUCAUUGCAGCCUCAACCUCCUGAGCUCAAGCCAUCCUCCCACCUCAGCCUCCCAAGUACCUGGGGUUACAGGCAAGCACCAUUACGCCUAGCUAAUUUUUCUGGGUUUUUUUUUUUUGUUUUUUUUUUUGUAUAGAUGGAUUUCGCCAUGUUGUCCAGGCUGGUCUUAAACUCUCGCUCUGUCUCCCAGGCUAGAGUGCAGUGGGGCAAUCUCGGCUCCCUGCAACCUCUGCCUCCUGGGUUCAAGCAAUUAUCCUGCCUCAGCCUACCAGUUAGCUGGGAUUACAUGUGUGCGCCACCGCGCCCGGCUAAUUUUUUUAUUUUUAGUAGAGGCGGGGUUUCACCAUGUUGACCAGGCUGGUCUCAAGACUACUGACCUCAAGUGAUCCCCCCCCCCCCCCGCCUCGGCCUCCCAAAGUGCUGGGAUUACAGACGUGAGCCACCGUGCCCAGCGGUUUUGCAUUUUCAAUUGUGGGGCACGGUGAGAAAAGACUUGAAGAAAGCAAGGGAGUGAGAUCCAUGGAAAUGUAGGGGGGAACCUUGCAGGCCUAUGGAACAGCCAGUGCAAAGGGCCUGGGGUGGGAGCUGCCUCAGGGUAGCCAGGAUGGCAGGAGGCACAGCUGCCGAGAGGAAGCAGGGGCCAGGUCCUGCAAGGUUAGAGGCCAUUGCUACUCCUGAACACAUUGGCAGGUUUUGAGCAGAGAAGUGACAUGAUUUUAGUUUUCUCAGGAUCCCUCUGGCUGCUGUGUGGAGGAAGAGGGGAGGGUGAGAGCAGGGAUACCUCUUAGGAGGCUGUGGUAGUAAUCCCAGGGAGCCAGGAUGGGAGCAGAGGAGGGGACAGGAAUUGGAUUCUGGAUGCAUUUUGGAGGGAGCAUGAAGGAAAGCGGGGUCAAAGGUUCCUCUGAGGCCUUGGCUGCCUCUCUUAUUCAUCUACAUCCAUUCUGUCAAGGACACCUUUCAUUUCUUCUUGGCACUGUCUCAAGGCCACCACGCUGCUGCCCACCUGACCAGCAGUGGCCUUUCCAGGCCUUCCAUCUUCUCCCCAGCAGCUUAUCUCUGCGUAGCCAGGUCCCAUUUCCCACACACCUUUUUUUAAAGUGUGUUGCACUGCUCUGGGUGCAGGACUGUAGCAGUGACCAGGGCAGCUCCAGAUGAAGCUUCUGCUCACAGGAACCUUUUCUACUGAAACAGAUGAUACCUAAACUCUCAGCUGUGUGACUUUAAGCAACUUGCACAACCUCUCUGUACUUCAGUUGCCUCCAUCUUCAAAUGGGGAUUAAAAAGUGUUGACAUCAUAGUGGUUGUGAGGAUUACAUGAUUUGAUAGUUUAUAAAGCACUUAGAACUUGUGAAGAAGAGUGCCUGGGGAUUGCCUAAGGUCAGGAGUUCAAGACCAGCCUGGCCAACAUGGAGAAACCUCAUCUCUGCUAAAAAUACAAAAACUAACCACGCAUGGUAGUGCACACCUCUAGUCCCAGCUACUUGGGGGGCUGAGGCAGGAGAAUCACUUGAACCUGGGAGGUGGAGAUUGCAGUGAGCCAAGAUUGCGCCACUGCACUCCAGCCUGGGCAACAGAGCAAGACUCGGUCUCCAAAGAAAAAAAAAGAACUGCCUGGCUACGGAAUAAGAACUACAUGGAGUUAUUAAAUCAAAAUCGGUGCACAAAUGAUAAUUCUUAAGAGUGAGUGCUACAGAGAACACAAAAGGCAAGGCACAGAGAGAUGACCUGGGAGGCAGGGAAGGAAAGCAUUCCCAGAGGUGAGUGGUUAGUGAAGGCUUGUCAGAGAUGGGACGAGGAGAAGCCUAGGGGGCACAGAAGAUGCAAAGGUGCUGAGGCCAGGGCAAAUUCAGAAUUUUUUUUUUUUUUGAGAUGGAGUCUCGCUCUGUCUCCCAGGCUGGAGUUCAGUGGUGCAAUCUCGGCUCACUGCAACCUCCACCUCCUGGGUCCAAGCAAUUAUCUGCCUCAGCCUCCAGAGUAGCUGGGAUUACAGGCAUCCACCACCACGCCCGGCUAAUUUUUGUGUUUUCAGUAGAGACAGGAUUUCACCAUCUUGGCCAGGCUGGUCUUGAACUCCUGGCCUCAUGAUCCACAUGCCUCAGCCUCCCAAAGUGCUGGGAUUACAGGCGUGAGCCACCGCGCCCAACCCAGAAUUCUCUUUUUUUGGGGGGGGGUGGGGGACAGAGUCUCACUCUGUCAUCCAGGCUGGAGUGCAGUAGCGCGAUCUUAGCUCACUGCAACCUCUGCCUCCCAGGUUCAAGCGAUUCUGCCUCAGCCUCCCGAGUAACUGGGAUUAUAGAUGCCCGCCACUACGCCUGGCUAAUUUUUUUUUUUUUUUUGUAUUUUUAGUAGAGAUGGGGUUUUACCAUGUUGGCCAGGCUGGUCUCAAACUCAUUACCUCCAGUGAUCCACCUGCCCUGGCCUGCCAAAGUGUUGGGAUUACACAGGCGUGAGCCACCAUGCCUGGCCCUGGCCCAGAAUUUUCAAGAAAUCUAAGGAAGGCUUUUUUGUGCUCUAAGUGUCCUUGUCUGUAAGGUAGGGGGGAUAAAGUGCCCUUGACUUCCCAAGGUUACUAUGCAGAUUGAACAAUAUAAUCCUCCCGGGUUGGCCUUGAGUCUUGUCAGACCUGAAGCUUAUGACAAUUUGAGAGCUCGCUUUGAGAAAAGAAACACAAAAAAUGAGGUGUGUGGCUUUAGAAGGAGCACAAAUGGGGUCCCCGAUGUUUAAGCUGCUUUAGUGUUACAGUAAAGCCACCUCUGAAUACCCAGAAGUGUUAGCUCUUACAACUUCCACCAACUCAGUCUUCUCCAAGCCUCUUGGUGGACUCAGAGGAGGACAGGGAGGCAGCCACUCUGGCCGGCCAGGGCCCUCCUCCCAGGUCCCUGGAACACAGGCGCACCAACCACAGCUGCGUCCUGGCCUGGGCAUCACGUGACGUCCCAGAGUGAUUCACGCUGCUAUUUCAGUGCUGCUGCAGUCAAGGGUAGGGAGAGGCAUGGCGAGGCUGUAUCUGGAGUCAGCUUGGAGGCCGUAGUUCCUGCAGCAGUGGCACUGAAGGUACAGCGAGGGUGACUGAGUCUCAGCAGAGCAAAUUCCCAACUUUAAAGUUUUCUCAAUAUCAGAAAAACUAGGAGAGCUGGAUCUCAGUGUAAGUGGGGAGUAGGGGUUAGGGAAGGGCUGCAGCUCAGAAUUGGGGCUCUGUAGACCUGGAAUUUUUGUUUGAAACUCCUAAGAAAUCUCUUAAUUUCUUACUUAACUGAGUGAUCCUAACUUGUAGCUCUUCUGCAAAGAUAGAACUGGCAUCCUUAUUAGUGGGGAAAAUAAAGUACUGUAGAGUUCUGUCCAAUUCCGAGGACUUGUAUAGAGCCAGGCACUGUGCCAGAUGCUUCAAGGAAUAAAAUGAUAAUUAUUAUCUAAUAAUUAUUAAUCAGAGAACCCUGGAGCCCAGUCCUGGGCCUUGCUAUCCACACCCCCCUCCCUGGGAGAUCCAGCCAGUCUUGUGGCUAUAAAUGCCAUCUCAGAUGACUCCCAUAAACCUGUCCUCUGCACAGAUCUCACCCCCCAGUCCCAGACUUAUCUAUCCAGCUGCCAUCUGGACAUCUUCGUGUGGAUGGCUGACAGACUUCCCGGGGUGCUCAAAUCAUAAUUCCCAAUAUCCCUCUCAACCCCGCCUGCCCUUGACUUCCUCUUGCCAAUGGCAUCAUUAUUCUUUCAGCGGCUCAGGCUGAAAACUGUGGAAGCAUUCUCGACUCAUCCUCUUUCACAGCCCGCAUCCAGUCCAUCAGCUAAUUCCGUCAGCUGGACGCAGACCCCCGGGACCCCCUCAGGGUGUAGGGGGAAGGAGUGUUGCUCCUUGGACUGGUAGAUGCCCAGAGUCAGAGGUGACAAUGUGCUUAGACACCCUGCAAGGGGCCCCCCCAGCCUAGGCACGCAGGCCAUAUAUAGCCUCUGUAAGAUGUGGGGUUGGGUUAGGGGGCGGGAGGAGAGACUCUGUAUUUCAGGGGACCACUGAGGUGAGGCCAGCUCAGCAGCAGCCAUGGCACACAGUGGAUCAGAGCCCUUCCCAAGGGUUAAGGACCAUGUGAACUGGGAACAGGAUGAGUUCCUCACAGCUGAGUAGGAUAGAGGCUUACGUCAGAACAAGGUGAUCCCAAGGCAAUGGUUUUUUUUCUUUCUUUCUUUUUUUUUUUUUUUUUUUGAGACAGAGUCUCUUUCUGUCACCCGGUCUGGAGUGAAGUGGCGCAGUCUCAGCUCUCUGCAACCUCUGCCUCCCAGGUUCAAGCAAUUCUUCUGCCUCAGCCUCCCAAGUAGCUGGGAUUACAGGUAUGUGCCACCAUGCCUGGCUAAUUUUUGUAUUUUUAGUAGAGAUGCGUUAUUUCCAUGUUGGCCAGGCUGGUCUCGAACUACUGACCUCAGGUGAUCCACUCGCCUCGGCCUCCCAAAGUGCUGAGAUUAUAGGCAUGAGCCACUGCGCCCGGCCGAGGCAAUGGUUUUCAGCUAGGGUGUCCCCAGCUGUCAUUUGGCAAUGUCUGGAGACAUUUGGGUUGUCAUAACUGAGUGUGUGUGUGUGUUUGUGUGCACAUGCUGUAGUGGCCAAGGAUGCUGCUAAACACCCUACAAGGCACAGAAUAGCCAUCACAAUUAUUUGGCUCCAAAUGUCAAUAGAGCUGAGGGAGAGAAAUAUUAAUAUAAACACAGCAGUUCCUGCACACCGAGGUUGAGGCUCAAGGGUGAAACCUGCCUGCUACAUGGCAAGCAGAUUGCAACUGACCACAGCACAUAAUAUGACACCCAAUGGCAAGAGAACGAUGUCAAGGGUCACUGAGAGAGAUGAAAGAUGGUGCAUAUUCAUUGACACCCCUCUCAUUGCAAAGUGGGAGGUCUGUGUCCCCUCCCCUUGAAUUCCAUGGAGUUGGGACUACUCUGACCAAUAGAAUACAACAGAAAUAACAUCUUGCAGUUUCCAAGCCUUAUAAAACUGGCAGCUUCCACUUCUUGUUUCUUGGGACACACUGCCUUGGAGCCUGUGCUGCCACUGAAGAAGUCUGAGUGCCCUGAGGCCACCAUGGUGUGGGGAAGCCCACGCUAGCCUUGUGGCAAGCCAACUGUUCCGCAACAUAGUGCGGGCUCCAGGUAACAUGAAGGAAGCUGUCUUGGGCCCUCUAGCCCAGCCCAGUCUCCAGCGAAUCCCACUGAGUGACCCUAGUCAAGCCCACAUGGAGCAGAAGAAUCACCUAGCUGAGCCCUGACCCACAAAAUCUUGAGAAGGAAUUAAAUUGCUAUUGUUCCCAGCCAGAAAAGCAAGGUAGCUUAAGGUAGUUUGUUCCACAGCAGUAGGUAACUAGAACAGUCAUGUCCAAGGAUUUGUUCCUGCACUUUCCCCUUCGCCACGUAUGGCAGAAAUUCUCAGGAAUUCUCAUGAGCCAGUGUCAUGCUAGUGCUUGUUGCAUCUGCUCCUCUCCAGCCGCCCCAGCCCACUGAUCCAAGCACUCUGUGAAAUGACUUUUGUGUGUCGACUUCUUCCCACGAGGAAGACGUUUCUUUCAUUGCCAUGUGCUGGACCCCAGUGCAGAGCCCGGGGCAUUGUCAGUGCUUAGUGUUUGUUGAAUGAGCCAAUGGAACUGGUCACCCUCCGCUGCCCUGGGGGUCCCUCAGCCUUUCCCAGAAGGUCCCUUGGACCUUCCCUCUGGGCUUCCUCACUCCCUUUUCUGCUUAUUCUUUUCUGAGCCGAAUUGUUGUAGCCCCUCAGAUCCAAAUGGCCCAACCCCACUGUCUCCUUCCCAGCACCUCUGUUGAGAAAUACCAAGUGGUAGAGAGUGUGCCUGUGUGGACGUGGGUGGGAUACGUGCCUCUUCUACACCGCCCGUAGGAAGGUACGCUUAGCAAUAGCUAUUGAAAACACAAAAGUGAUUCUGCUCUUAGGAAUGUCUCCCGCAGGGACCCUACCCUGGUGGCACAGGACGUCUCACACAGCACUGUCUGGGACAGCAAAAGGGAUGGAAACCACCUGAGUCCAACUAUGGAGGACACUGGAAAACACGAUGCUGCCUCCAUAGGAUGGGAUAUUGGCAAGUGUGAAGAAACAACAUUUGGUUCUGGAGGCUGCAAGCCCAGGUUCAAGGCAUCAGCAGGUGUGGUUUCCUCCGAGGCCUCUCCCCGUGGCUUGCAGAUGGCUGCCUUCUUCCUGCAUCCUCACGUGGUCCCUCCUCUGCACUCCAGCAUCCUUAAUGUCUCUUUGUGUGUCCAACUUUCCGCCCCCCCCCACCCCUUUUUUUUCUGAUGGAGUCCACCCAGACUGGAGUACAGUGGCGUGAUCUCAGCUCACUGCAACCUCCACUUCCUGGGCUCAAGUGAUUCCCCCGCUUCAGCCUCCCGAGUAGCUGGGAUUACAGGCAUGUGCCACCAUGCCUGGCUAAUUUUUGUAUUUUUAAUAGAGAUGGGAUUUCACCAUAUUGGCCAGGCUGGUCUCAAACUCCUGACCUCAAGUGAUCCACCCAUCUCGGCCUCCCAAAGUGUUGAGAUUACAGGUGUGAGCCACUGCGCCCAGCCCCGAACUUUCCUCUUAAAAGGAUAUCAGUCAGGCCAGGCGCAGUGGCUCAUACCUGUAAUCCCUGCACUUUGGGAGGUUGAGGCGGGUGGAUUACUUGAGGUCAGGAGUUGGAGACCAGCCUGGCCAACAUGGUGAAAUCCCGUGUCUACUAAAAAUACAAAAAUUAGCCGGGCGUGGUGGCAGGCGCCUGUAGUCCCAGCCACUCGGGAGGCUGAGGCAGGAGAAUUGCUUGAACCUGGGAGGCAGAGGUUGCAGUCAGCUGAGAUCAUGCUACUGCACUCCAGUCUGGGCAACAGAGCAAGACUCUAUCUCAAAAAAAAAAAAGACACCAGUCAGACUGGAGUAGGGCUCACCCUAAUGGCCUGAUUUUAACUUAAUUACCUCUUUUUUUUUCUUUCUUUUUUUGAGACAGAGUCUCGCUCUGUCACCCAGGCUUGAGUGCAGUGGCGCGAUCUCAGCUCACUGCAACCUCUGUCUCCCGGGUUCAAGUGAUUCUCCAGCCUUAGCCUCCCAAGUAGCUGGAAUUACAGGCGUGUACCACCACACCAAGCUAAUUUUUGUAUUUUUUAGUAGAGACAGGGUUUCUUCAUGUUGGUCAGGCUGGUCUCAAACUCCUGACCUCAGGUGAUACACCUGCCUCGGCCUCCCAAAGUGAUGGGAUUAUAGGUGUGAGCCACUGCACCCAGCCUUAAUUACCCCUUUAAAGGCCCUAUAUGCAAAUACAGUCACAUUCUGAGCUACUGGGGGUUAGGGCUUCAACAUAGGAAUUCAGGCAGACAUGAUUCAGCCCAUAACAAGGGCUUUCACUUUUUUUUUUUUUGUAGAAACAGGGUCUCACUAUGUUGCCCAGGCUACUCUUGAACUCCUGGGUUCAAGUGAUUCUCCAGCCUCAGCCCCCAGAUUAGCUGGGGCUACAGGUGCACCAGCACGCCCAGCUAAUAUUUUUACUUUCAUUUUUUUUAGACGGAGUUUAGCUAUCUUUGCCCAGGCUAGAGUGCAAUAGCGUGAUCUUGGCUCACCACAACCUCUGCCUUCCGGGUUCAAGAAUUCUCCUGCCUCAGCCUCCCAAGUAGCUGGGAUUACAGGCAUGCACCACCAUGACCGGCUAAUUUUGUAUUUUUAGUAGAGACGGGGUUUCUCCAUGUUGGUCAGGCUGCUCUCGAACUCCCGACCUCAGAUGGUCUGCCCGCCUCAGCUUCCCAAGGUGCUGGGAUUACAGGCGUGAGCCACCGCGCCCGGCCAAUAUUUUUUGUGGAGUCAGGGUCCUACUAUGUUUCCCAGGCUGGUCUUGAACUUCCAGGCUCAAGCGAUCCUCCUGCCUUGGCCUCCUAAAGUACUGUGAUUCCAGGCCUGAGCCACAGCACCCUGCUGGCUUUCACUUUUUACUUUAUUUCUAUGUUGUUAAAAUCUAUUACAAUAAACAUUACUUUUAAAGGAUUUUGUGCACUUCAAUCCAAAUGUCCCUGAAGCAUCUACCUCCCUCCUGGGCCUUCUCUGAAGUCAGAGUAGGGGCAGCUGAAGCCCUCCCUCUGCUGGCUCCAGGAACGAAACCCCCUGGCCCACUAAGGCCCUUCCCCUGGGGAGGGUGGCGUGGGAUAAGAACACUCAGUAUCUGUCUGGCCCUCUCAAGAUCACUGAGGACUUUCCCAGACAGCCGACAUGGUCUUCAGAUCAGUCUGCCAAACGUCACAUAGAGGCUGGGCACGGUGGCUCACGUCUGUAAUCCCAGCACUUUGGGAGGGCAACGUGGGUGGAUCACCUGAAGUCAGGAGUUCGAGACCAGGCUGGCCGACAUUGCAAAACCUCGUCUCUACAAAAAUAUAAAAGUUAGCUGGGCGUGGUGGCACGCGCCUGUAGUCCCAGCUACUCGGGAGGCUGAGGCAGGAGAAUCACUUGAACCUGGGAGGCGGAGGUUGCAGUGGACCAGGAUCGUACCACUGCACUCCAGCCUGGCCAACAGAGUAAGACUCCAUCUCAAAAAAAAAAAAAAAAUCAGGUGGAGGGGCAUCCUCUGUUUUCCAGGCUCCUGGUUUAUAGCUGCAAGCUCUGGACAUUUAAUACCUUGUAAUCCAUCCUUCCCUUAUAUACCUCUCAACAUAAUGACUGUACAAUAUGGCCAAUGAAACGGAUAGUAAAAUGAAACAUAGGCAAGUAAUAAAGUGAGAUAUGAAGACAGUAGUACAACCUGGAUGAGGGUGGAAUGCAAAAUUGUCAUCAGAGAAGACGACAGGAGGACCUGAGAGCUGGAGGGACGGACGCUUAUCUACCCAAAUGAGGCUAUAAAAAGUAGAAAGAUGGCAGGGUAAAAAUGGGGGAGGGCUGCCACUUAAGACUCUCAGGAAACAGUGAUGCAUCAGACUUUAUCAUUAAGUCCCAGGGGAGAGGAGUGGAUCUGGGGAUCCCUUUAGAUAUGGUAGAAUUCUCCUGGGUCCUGCUCUGGUCUUAAAUCUCAGACCAGUAGCAGGAAAACCCUAACUGUACUGUGGUCCUGAAUGUCACUGCAACUUCAGCCCUGCUGUGGUGGUGUAUCUGCUCCUCUGGCUGGCUCUGCCACCUUGAAAGGUGAGACCAUGUGGAGCAGAGCCAAGGGGCCUCAGCUGACAGCCAGCACCAACCAUCAGUCAUGUGAGUGAGACCACCUUGGACCCCCAACCCCAGUUGGGUUGUCAGAUGACUAUAGCUGCAGGUACAAGAGUGACCCAGUGACACCAGCAGAUGAACCGGCUAGCUUAGCUCAGCCCAAACUGCUGACUUAGAACUGUUGUUAUGUUAAGCCAGUACAUUUUCAGUGACUCAUUACAAAGCAGUAGAUAACUGUGACAGUCUAAGAGGAUCUAAGUUUGGAAACAGGAUUGAAUAUUUAAGAUAACUGAUUUGCCAGAUUUAUAAGUUUAUUAGUAUAUAAGAGUUGCUUGGCUGGGCACAGUGGCUCAUGCCUGUAACCCUAACACCUUGGAAGGCUGAAGCAGGAAGAUUGCUUGAGCCCAGGAGUUUGAGACCAGCCUUGGCAACACAGUGAGACCCAAUCUCUUAAAAAAAAAAAAAAAAAAAAAAACUCCGUCUCCCUCUCGCUCUCCGUCUCCCUCUCGCUCUCCCUCUCCCCACGGUCUCCCUCUCAUGCGGAGCCGAAGCUGGACUGUACUGCUGCCAUCUCGGCUCACUGCAUCCUCCCUGCCUGAUUCUCCUGCCUCAGUCUGCCGAGUGCCUGCGAUUGCAGGCACGCGCCGCCACGCCUGACUGGUUUUGGUGGAGACAGGGUUUCGCUGUGUUGGCCGGGCCGGUCUCCAGCCCCUAACCGCGAGUGAUCCGCCAACCUCGGCCUCCCGAG